rnacentral:rRNA from 1 species
UACGGAGGAUGCGAGCGUUAUCCGGAUUUAUGGGGUUUAAAGGGAGCGUAGGCGGGUUGUUAAGUCAGUUGUGAAAGUUUGCGGCUCAACCGUAAAAUUGCAGUUGAUACUGGCAUCCUUGAGUACAGUAGAGGUAGGCGGAAUUCGUGGUGUAGCGGUGAAAUGCUUAGAUAUCACGAAGAACUCCGAUUGCGAAGGCAGCCUGCUGGACUGUAACUGACGCUGAUGCUCGAAAGUGUGGGUAUCAAACAGG